CAAAGAUUUAUCGGCAAAGGAUGGGCCUGCGUCUGAUUAGCUAGUUGGUAAGGUAACGGCUUACCAAGGCGACGAUCAGUAGCCGACCUGAGAGGGUGAACGGCCACAUUGGAACUGAGACACGGUCCAAACUCCUACGGGAGGCAGCAGUGGGGAAUAUUGCACAAUGGGCGAAAGCCUGAUGCAGCAACGCCGCGUGAAGGAAGAAGGCCUUCGGGUCGUAAACUUCUGUCCUUGGGGAAGAAGAACUGACGGUACCCAAGGAGGAAGCCCCGGCUAACUACGUGCCAGCAGCCGCGGUAAUACGUAGGGGGCAAGCGUUAUCCGGAAUUAUUGGGCGUAAAGAGUACGUAGGUGGCAACCUAAGCGCAGGGUUUAAGGCAAUGGCUCAACCAUUGUUCGCCCUGCGAACUGGGAUGCUUGGGUGCAGGAGAGGAAAGCGGAAUUCCUAGUGUAGCGGUGAAAUGCGUAGAUAUUAGGAGGAACACCAGUGGCGAAGGCGGCUUUCUGGACUGUAACUGACACUGAGGUACGAAAGCGUGGGGAGCAAACAGGAUUAGAUACCCUGGUAGUCCACGCCGUAAACGAUGAGCACUAGGUGUCGGGGUCGCAAGACUUCG
rnacentral:rRNA from 1 species